rnacentral:rRNA from 1 species
AGUGAACGCUGGCGGUAGGCCUAACACAUGCAAGUCGAACGGCAGCACAGUAAGAGCUUGCUCUUACGGGUGGCGAGUGGCGGACGGGUGCGGAAUACAUCGGAAUCUACUUUUUCGUGGGGGAUAACGUAGGGAAACUUACGCUAAUACCGCAUACGACCUACGGGUGAAAGCAGGGGAUCUUCGGACCUUGCGCGAUUGAAUGAGCCGAUGUCGGAUUAGCUAGUUGGCGGGGUAAAGGCCCACCAAGGCGACGAUCCGUAGCUGGUCUGAGAGGAUGAUCAGCCACACUGGAACUGAGACACGGUCCAGACUCCUACGGGAGGCAGCAGUGGGGAAUAUUGGACAAUGGGCGCAAGCCUGAUCCAGCCAUACCGCGUGGGUGAAGAAGGCCUUCGGGUUGUAAAGCCCUUUUGCUGGGAAAGAAAAGCAGCAGGUUAAUACCCCGCUGUUCUGACGGUACCCAAAGAAUAAGCACCGGCUAACUUCGUG